rnacentral:lncRNA from 1 species
UUGAAGUUGUCUGAAGAUUCUUCAAUCACUAUGUCAAGUGACACAGGUAUUUCUCUUUCUUCAUAUGAUGAAGAUCAGGGAUCUAAACUUAUCCGAAAAGCUAGAGAGGCACCUUUUGUCUCCAUUGAAAUGGCAGGUUUUGCAGCAAUUGUUGCAUAUGGAUUAUAUAGAUUGAAGAGCAGGGGACAUACUAAAAUGUCUGUUCACCUGAUCCACAUGCAUGUGGCAGCCCAAGGCUUUGUUGUGGGAGCAAUGACUCUUGGUAUGGGCUAUUUCCUGUAUCAAGAAUUCUGGGGGAAACCUAAACCUUAGAAGAGAAGAUGCUGUCUUGGUCAUCUUGGUGGUGCUUGCUUUAGUUAGACAUCUCAUAUUGA